AUCAGAAUAAAAAAUAAGCAGAUCGAAGUCUUCCUCAACCUCCUCGAUCUGGCUCUGGUUCUCUCCCGCGAAAUUCCCAAUCCCCCUCAAUCCUUCUCUUCCUCCGCCUCCAAAUCACCCAUAUCCCCGGUCUGGAAUCUCUUGGAAAACGCCAGAUCCGUUCUCCACUGGAACAAAUUCGAGGGUGGCUUGCUCGAUUUGUGGCUCGGUUUGUGGCCAGAUUGAUUUGUGGCUCCCGAUGGCCGACUGAGAUGGGGAUGGGGAGGAGUAGAGACAUGCGGGUGUGGCGAUGGGGAGGAGAUGCUUCGGUCGAUGGCUGGAAGAGGAGACGAAGCGAGCGGCGGCUGGACUCGCGUGCGGUGGCCGGGCAUGCGGCCAGCAGCUUGCCGGAUGGACUGAGCCGCCGGACGAGGUGGAGGCAAGGCGCUGAAGGUACUGCAGUUAUACGAUUGAACUCCUUAAUUUGCUGCACCAAUUUUAAAGGCGUAUCUUUGCAUCUAGAUGCAGUUGGAUGGUGAUUUAUUUUUGGUGCCAUGAAAUCGUUGGUUUUCAUGCCAUAUCUGCUCCACCAAGUCAUGCACAUGUUGGAUUUCAUGCCAAAUGAAAACAUUACAAGUUAAUAAAGGGAUACAUCAGAUUACAUGCGGAAUUAGAACAGUACAACAAUUUUUCACUGUUAAAAUAUAAAUUCUAGGCAUCAUUUGCUCCAAACUUUUGCCAUAUGUGCUCCACCAAGUCAUCUUUCAGUCGACGAUGCAUUGUUCGAUCACGUAUUUCAGUGUCUGUUUGAAGUACCCUAGCAAAUUCUUGAAUUGGUCCAUGACCGUAUCCUGUUAGUGGGACUGGGUCGCUACCCUCGUCGUAAUCCAAGUCAUACCGAACUUGAUAGUCAUCUCUCUCAUCCUCUACUAUCAUGUUGUGCAAUAUCACACAUGCAUACAUGAUAUCUGCUAGUGCACUUCUAUCCCACAAUCGUGCUGGGUUACGUAUAAUGGCAAAUCUUCGCUGCAAUACUCCAAAUGCUCUUUCCACAUCUUUUCUUGCUGAUUCUUGAUGCUGUGCAAAUCUCUUAUCUUUCUCACACUGUGGUAGGGGGAUUGUUUUCAUUAAUGUAGCCCACUUUGGAUAAAUACCCUCUGCUAGAUAGUAACCCUUCUUGUACACAUUUUCAUUGACUGUAAACUCUACUUUAGGAGCUCUCCCUUGUAGUAAUUGUGUGAACAAAGUUGACUGAUUUAACACAUUUAUGUCAUUGUUAGACCCUACCACACCAAAAUACGCAUGCCAAAUCCAAAGAUCAAGCGAGGCAACAACUUCUAGCAUAAUGGUGGAUGCUCCAAUAUCACCACGAGUAAAUUGUUCCUUCCAAGCAGUUGGGCACCUUUCCCACUCCCAAUGCAUACAAUCUAUACUUCCUGACAUGCCAGGGAAACCUCGAUUCUCAGCAACAUGAAAUAAGUGUCUAGUGUCUUCAUUAGUGGGCCUUCUUAGAUAUUCUUCACCGAAAUUCUUCCUCACACCUUUCGCGAACUUGGUCAAGACUUCAAUGGCGGUGCUUGCAACAAUUCUCAGAUUUUCAUCUAGACUAUCAGCAGGGCAGCCAUACGCUAGCAGGCGCAUGGCUGCAGUGCAUUUUUGGUGUGGCGAAUGACCAGGCUUGCCAAAGGCAUCAAACCUUUGGCAAAAAUAAGGGGACCACUCACUAAGUGCAUGUAAAAUCCGAAGAAAUACAUGCUUCCUCAUACGAUACCUUCGGCGGAAUUGCUUGUUCGUGUAAACUGGGUUGUCGUCGAAGUAGUCAGCCAUCAAGCGGAAGUGUCCAGCUUCACGGUUUCUUUCUAUGUGCCGUCGAGAUUGAGCUGCAGCUUCAUUUUGUUCUGCCUCGGCCUGAGCUAAAAUCUGUGCCUCUAUCUCAGCCUCAAGUGGGCCAUUAAUGAAGUCCCAAACAAUCUCAUCGACAUAUGCUGCAAUGGUGCUAUCUUCUGAGUUCUCGGACUCAGAAUCUGUAUGUGUAGAAUCUGAAUGUGUAGCCAUUUUGUAGCAGCUUGAUGAAUGAGGAGAAAGAGGAGUAGAAUUCUGAAUGAAUGAGAAGAGAGGAGUAGAGUUCUGAAUGAAUGAGUUGUGCAUAUAUGUAUGCAAGUUCCAACGGCUAGUUUCUUUUUUUAUUGUUCUUCAUAUCUAACAAGUCUUUCUUUUUCUUAAAAUAACAGGAAGGAUAACAUGAAGGAUGCAUUGACCAAUUGAUACAUAAUGAAGGAUUACACUAGUAGGUAAGAACCCAGGUCCUUACAUUAAAAUAACAUGAAGGAUACAUUGAACAACUAAUACAUAAUGAACUAAAGUAACACAAUAUUGCUAAAUACGAAUGCAUCUUUGGAAAUUAAUCCAACUGCUUGCACAAACUCUCCACCAUCUUUUCAUGUCGCUGAAGUUGUUCAUCGUUGAAUCCUGAAGUGUCAACUUUCAUGAGCUCCAUAUACGUGUUGAAUUUAUCAACCUUCGUCUUUUCUGUUUUUGCUUUAGCCAUUUCUCUUUUUGCUUCAGCCAUUUCUUUGUUUGCCGCUGCCUUCGCUGUUGUUGCUUCAGCCCAUUUUUCCAGUGCAGCUGCUUUGCGGCCAUCCUCAUCUGAUAUAUGAAAUGGCAUAAAAUCUGGAAUGUCCUUUCCUUUUGCUCUUGCUUUUGCUUUCAUUUUCCUUGCCUCCUUUGCAGCUUUUGUUCCUUGAGGUCGUGGUUCACGAACUGGGUUUGGAUCUUCACUGUCCUGAUUUGAGGAUGACGUGUAAGCACUAGGCCUGGACAAAAAGAUCGAAGUUCGAUAAUUUUAUUGAACGCUCGCUAACUCGGUUCCUUAAGGGCUCGGUUCGUUAACUAAAGAACCAAACAGGACUUUCUUUUCAGAUCGUUAACCUUAACGAUCUUAACAAGCGAGCUCGGCGAGCGCUCGUUAAGCUCGUUAGCAAGCUCGUCUCGUACAUCACUUGUGAGUGGUUACUAAAAUUAUUUUGAUGUUGGAAUUGUUUUGUUAUUUCUCUUUUGUUGUGUUAUUUCCAAUCUUUAUAGCGUUGUUUAACUUUUGAUAUAUUUUGUUUGCUGCCAAAAUUUAUCCCAAACAAACGAAUAAUGCCCAAAAAUUUAGAUCAACAUACCAUCUAUUAUCUUAACGAGUUUUUAACGAGCUUAACGAGCGCUCGCGAGCUCUUAACGAACAGAGCCAAACAAUGGUUUCAGAUCGUUAACGAUAACGAUCUUAACGAUCCGAGCUCUUAACGAACCGAGCUUAACGAACCGAGCUCGCUCGUUAGCCAGCCCUAGUAAGCACCAGUUGCAUCCAACCUGUGUCUCCUCCCUCCCAAGUCCUCUUCCAUGUACAGAUUACGCCAUUUGGGCUCUUCCCUCACUACUCUCCACCAAUACUCCAAAGCGAAGGGUCUCUUCACUUUUGCUACAUUUAAAUACAUGGCCCGUGUUUUCUCCAUGAGUCCCUCCUCUGAUUGACCACUGGCAUACACAUUUUUUGUCUUAAUGUAGCAUGCAUGGAAGAGACAAACCAACGGGGUAGUCUUGCUCCAGUGAUUCUUGCAUUGGGCAGUAGAUCUUCUUUCAUUUGAUGGCUAUUUUUGUUGUAUUUUUAAUCCAAGAGUUGAUCAAUCGCUCAUUCUCCUUUUUUGUCCAAUUGGUGCGGCCUCUUCUUUGUUCUUCAUUUGGACUGCUAUCUUUGUUUUCUUCAUGCUCCACUUCAUGAUGUGUAUUUUGUGCAGCAGACAUUGGAGAGGUGGAAUCGACCGGCGACGAUGAAAUUCCGGCUCCGUAUGCUCCAAAGAAGGCGCUGGAUUCAACCGACGAUGUUGAAACGCCUGCUCCGUAAGCUCCAAAGAAGGCGCCGGAUUCGACCGGUGAUGAUGAAUGCCCAGGUUGACCUCCUCCAUAGGUAAGAUGUGUGGGUGGGCUGGAAUUGGUUUGAUAUGGAGCUUGCAUGUUUCCUGGAUUGUAUGCAUGGAGCUGGUGGAUGCCCUGGUGCGGACCAAAGGGAUCGAGGCUUGGAUGAUGUGGAUGCAUGUCGGAGGGAUAUUGAGAGGAUGAGAGUAAGUUCAUGGCAGCAGCUUGUAUGUGUUGUUGGUACAAGCUAUUUUGAUUUUCUGGAUCUGCACUUGGAAUUGCAGAGUUGAGCAUACUUGUAAAAUUUGGUAGGCGAUUGGGCUCCAUAUUUUAGAUGUGUGUUGUUUUUGAAAUUCUGAAUCUUGUUGCGUGUAUAUAUAACAGGCAGCCAACGGCUAGCCAGCAACGG
rnacentral:lncRNA from 1 species